UACAGAGGGGGCAAGCGUUGUUCGGAAUUACUGGGCGUAAAGGGCGCGUAGGCGGCCUGUUAAGUCGAACGUGAAAUCCCCGGGCUCAACCCGGGAACUGCGUCCGAUACUGGCAGGCUUGAAUUCGGGAGAGGGAUGUGGAAUUCCAGGUGUAGCGGUGAAAUGCGUAGAUAUCAGGAGGAACACCGAUGGCGAAGGCAGCUCACUGGGACGGUACUGACGCUGAGGCGCGAAAGCGUGGGGAGCAAACAGG
rnacentral:rRNA from 1 species